AGGCAAUCCACAACUAUUUUCUCUAUUUUUCUUCAGCCAUUGUAUUUAUGAGGUAGAAAAGUACUUAAAGAGUGUUCAAAUUCCUUAAUUUAUUUAUAUUCUUGGCAGCAAUGGACUUCCUCAGCAAUAACGAUUUAAAAAUGCUGCUGUUUCCAAUUUUGGGGCCAGAAGUACCUCUUCUCCAUAGAGAAAAAAUGCAAGAGGAUUGCUACAGUAUCCAACCUCAGGCAUUUCACAGGGUUUUGGGGUUGUUUCAACUCCCUCUGUAUCACUUAGGAAGAGACUCGUUCAGUUCAGUUUGAUAAUAUGCACUCUAAUUCAAGUUGAGGACAGAAUGAAGCAUGCAAGAAAAGCAGAAGACAGUAAAACAAAAGAAGAAAUAAAGAAACAGACUGUACAGUUGAAUCUAUGUCCUGAAGAAUUAAGAAAAUGUAGUAACUCAAUAUUCACGAUACAGUUAACUUUGUACAAAUCAAAGCAGAACAAACCACAUCUAAUGUAACAAAUGCAGCUAAAAAUCUCCUCAAACUCUGCGCGCCGCAUUUUUCAAUCAACAUGGUGAAUAAAGUUGUCACUCAGUUGCAGACUCACAUUUUUGACAAUAUAUAUCCCUUAUUUCUCCACUAUAGGAAAUGGAGUAUUUCAGCUUCUACCAUUUUAGCAGAACUCAGAAACUAGUUCUUUUUUUCUAUACAAGAAAUUUCAUAUUCUGUUUUUGAACAAUGAUUAUUUGAAAUAAAAUUUCUCAAAUGAUAUAGAAUAGUAACAGAUAAUAAAUAUUUUUGUUAAGUAGGUGCAGUGGUGAUAGAGUCAUAUUAUU